GUGAGUAACGUUAACUGUUAAUAUAAUUUUAUGAUGUAUAUGACUGUUAUAACAUUAAGUAAUGUGUACUGAAACGUUAAUUAAAUCGUAAAACUAUUUAAAAAACGAAGUUUUAAUUCCCUUUAGUCAGUUUUUUUCUUCCCCAGAGAAUCAGAUCGAUUGUAAAUGAAUAUGCUAUUCCCGUUUGCUUGCUAGCAUUAAUAAAUAAAAACAUUAUCUGAAAGACUAGCAAAACUGUUUAGAGAAGUAUUACUUAACGUUAAUAAAAAUGUCUGGUGAAAUGUGAAAGGUCGCCGAAAUCUUUAGGCUAUAAAAGCCGCACGGACCAUUUAUCGGAUCGGACCAGUGAAUGAAGCUGCUCGAGCGAGCCGAGCUCACACAUCAGUCAUACGACAGACGCAGAUUCAAUAAAUGGAUUUCUUUGUAAAGGAAAGAUUACAACAGUGGAACCUCUGCAAUUUAAUAGAAACAUUUCAAGAGCUUCAGUGUUUACAGUACUGGCCAAUGCAUGCGUGUGAUGCUGACGGAGGAGCCGUUCAAUAAUGAGUCAGCGUUUGGAUGUGAGUACACGGAAGCUCUGAACUGCAUUCACUACGUCAACUGCGUUGGUACUAAUAUGGUGCACUACCUCAAUAAUGAGACAAGCCAGGAUCCACAUGUCUUGGUGCUUGGAGACAAAGAAAAUUCCUCCCAAGUUUUUAUCAUUUUCAUUGGAGAGGCAGUUGAAAAGGAGACCUUACUUCAAGCAGUGAACGUAUGCUUCAAAAUGUUCUACAUCUAUGACAUAAACUACCCAAAGCCCUCUCCUCCAAUUUGGGAGUUCUUGCAGCAUGCAGUCUAUAAUAUUCCUGGAGGAGUUCCUUUUGCACAUUGCUGCCUCCUAAAAAACUUUGUAUUCAAAGUUACUGAUCAUCAGUAGAUCCAGUAGCCAAAACACAAAUUAAAGGGUUAGUUCACACAAAAAUGAAAAUUCUGUCAUUAAUUACUCACCCUCAUGUUGUUCCAAACCCAAGACCUCCGUUCAUCUUUGGAACACAAAUUAAGAUAUUUUUGCAUUCUGACAGCUCUCUGACCCUCCCAUAGACAGCAAGGGUCCUUACACCAUC
ensembl:lncRNA